CUACGGGUUGCUGCAGUGGGGAAUUUUGGACAAUGGGCGAAAGCCUGAUCCAGCCACUCCGCGUGAGUGAUGAAGGCCUUCGGGUUGUAAAGCUCUUUCGGCCGGGAAGAAAUCGUGUAGGCUAAUAUCCUGCAUGGAUGACGGUACCGGAUCAAGAAGCACCGGCUAACUACGUGCCAGCAGCCGCGGUAAUACGUAGGGUGCGAGCGUUAAUCGGAAUUACUGGGCGUAAAGCGUGCGCAGGCGGAUGUUUCAGCCAGAUGUGAAAUCCCCGGGCUUAACCUGGGAAUGGCAUUUGGAACUGGACAUCUAGAGUGUGUCAGAGGGGGGUGGAAUUCCACGUGUAGCAGUGAAAUGCGUAGAGAUGUGGAGGAACACCGAUGGCGAAGGCAGCCCCCUGGGAUAACACUGACGCUCAUGCACGAAAGCGUGGGGAGCAAACAGGAUUAGAUACCCUGGUAGUC
rnacentral:rRNA from 1 species